GAUCCAAAAUGCCUAGUAUUGUGGUUUGAAUGUUCUCGUUUUGCUAUUAAUGAAUUUGCUGUUUGCAAUUAUUUUUUUUACAAAUCGGGUUUUGGUAAUUUGGAUCGGAAUAUUGGUGAUUCCUACAUGGGCAACACUCAAUUCGUCUGAAUCGAUAUGGUUCUUCACCUGUUAUGGUUUCCGUGUUAUAGUUUAUCACGAAAUCCCCUCAACUUCACGGUUAGAUCCAAUUAUAUUUGAUAUAAAGACAUUACAUUUUCAUUUGAAUUUUUUAUUUUGGAAGGUGAGAGCAGAAUAUUACCUUUGUAUGUUUUCACUUUGACAAAUCUGAGGACGCAAACCACAAUGACACCAUUUGAUGCCUGGCUGUCUCUAAAAACUUUGUCAGCAAAUGAGCCCCACAAGUCUUAGUCUUAGUCUUGUAUGGACAAUGUCUCUGAGGAAAGCAAAAGAAGUCGCCAUUGUUUUAGAAAAUUAGGCCUGAAGUCGAAGGAAGUUAAGAGGUCUUAUACUUUCUAUAUUUUCGGCAAACGAAGCUGUAUUAUUGUUUUUAAAUUUUUUUUAUUAAUUGUAAUUAUAAUGGCAUGGUUGUAAAUAGUUCUGAACUUGAAGCCUUCUUUGCCAAAGUUGCUGUGAAAAUGUUAAUAUAGAUGACCUAUAUAUUAGAGUUAAUCUAUAUAAUAAUAACAAUCCGAAUAAAAAGUGA